GCUGCUAAGCUCUGAAGACAGUGUCAAGAAAGAUGCCUUGAGAGCAAAAAAAAAGAGCCAUUGAGCCUUGACCACGUUUUCUAUUGGCCUGCGCUUCCCCUCUUUUUUUUCUUUUCUUUUUUUUGGUUCUAGCUUCCCAAAAAUUUCCGUGUUGUCACAUGGUAUGUAGCUUCCGGUUAUUAGUCUAAAGCUACCAUUUUAUUUAUCAUUUCAUCUCGGCCGUUGAAAGUUUAUAUUUUCACGGAUUAAUAUGAGAAUUUAUUGAGUAUCAUACAUAGUGCAAUGGUACGGAUACAGGAAGCAAUCUAUAGGUUAGGAGUUUGACUUCCCCGUUCUCAAAAAAAAAAAGGGCCACGUGCUCCUUGUGCUAUAUUGGAGCCACCCUGUCUUCGGCGGGACAUAUACGGAUAGUAGCGAAGCUAGAGUAAAAUUAAGAG
rnacentral:lncRNA from 1 species